rnacentral:rRNA from 1 species
GAUGAACGCUGGCGGCGUGCCUAAUACAUGCAAGUCGAGCGAACGGACGAGACGCUUGCUUUUCUGAUGUUAGCGGCGGACAGGUGAGUAACACGUGGCUAACCUACCUGUAAGACUGGGAUAACUUCGGGAAACCGGAGCUAAUACCGGCUAAUAUUUUGUACCGCAUGGUUCAAAAGUGAAAGACGGUCUUGCUGUCACUCAUAGAUGGAUCCGCGCUGCAUUAGCUAGUUGGGAAGGUAACGGCUUACCAAGGCAACGAUGCAUAGCCGACCUGAGCGGGGGAUCGGCCACACUGGAGCUGAGACACGGUCCAGACUCCUACGGGAGGCAGCAGUAGGGAAUCGUCCGCAGUGGGCGAGAGCCUGACGGAGCGACGCCGCGUGAGUGAUGAAGGUCUUCGGAUCGUAAAACUCUGUUAUUAGUGAAGAACAUAUGUGUAAGUAACUGUGCACAUCUUGACGGUACCUAAUCAGAAAGCCACGGCUAACUACGUG